GAGUUUGAUCAUGGCUCAGAGUGAACGCUGGCGGCGUGCCUAACACAUGCAAGUCGUGCGCGAAAGGGUAGCAAUACCUGAGUAAAGCGGCGAACGGGUGAGUAACACGUGGUUAACCUGCCGGAAUGUGGGGGAUACCCCGGGGAAACUCGGGACAAUACCGCAUAUGGUCUCCUGGGCUCGGGCCCGGGAGAGCAAAGCUGGGGAUCGUAAGACCUGGCGCAUUCCGAGGGGACCGCGGCCGAUUAGCUAGUUGGCGGGGUAAUGGCCCACCAAGGCAACGAUCGGUAGCCGGCCUGAGAGGGUGAUCGGCCACACCGGAACAGAGACACGGUCCGGACUCCUACGGGAGGCAGCAGUGGGGAAUUUUGCGCAAUGGGCGAAAGCCUGACGCAGCAACGCCGCGUGGAGGAUGAAGGUUCCCUGAAUCGUAAACUCCUGUCGGCCGGGAAGAAUGGUCGGGAUGCUAAUCAAUCCCGAUUUGACUGUACCGGCAAAGGAAGCCCCGGCUAACUCCGUGCCAGCAGCCGCGGUAAUACGGGGGGGGCAAGCGUUACUCGGAAUUAUUGGGCGUAAAGGGCGCGUAGGCGGCCGUGUGCGUCAGAGGUGAAAUCCCCGG
rnacentral:rRNA from 1 species